AACUGCAGAGGCUGAAACUUUCAUUCUGCAGUGUAACAGAAGAAGGAUAUGAAUUUCUGGCUUCAGCUCUGAAAAACCCUGCAUUACCCCUGAUAGAGCUGGAUCUCAGAGGAAAUGACCCAGGAGACACAGGAGUGAAGAAGCUCACUGAUUCAUCUUGUUCCACAAGAACAAUAAGGCUGCUGAACAGCUCUGAUGCAGAGGAAAUAUGUACUUCUCUGACUAAAGAUCUGGGAAAAAACCCAUUACUGCUGAGAGAGCUGGAUCUGAGUGGAAAAAUACAAGGAGAUUCAGGCAUGAAGAAGCUCUCUGCUCUACUAAAGGAUUCCCACUGC